rnacentral:rRNA from 1 species
GAUGAACGCUGGCGGCGUGCCUAACACAUGCAAGUCGAGCGAUUCUCUUCGGAGAAGAGCGGCGGACGGGUGAGUAACGCGUGGGUAACCUGCCCUGUACACACGGAUAACAUACCGAAAGGUAUGCUAAUACGAGAUAAUAUACUUUUAUCGCAUGGUAGAAGUAUCAAAGCUUUUGCGGUACAGGAUGGACCCGCGUCUGAUUAGCUAGUUGGUAAGGUAACGGCUUACCAAGGCGACGAUCAGUAACCGACAUGAGAGGGUGCUCGGCCACGUUGGAACUGGGACACGGUCCAAACUCCUACGUGAGGCAGCAGUGGGGAAUAUUGCACAGUGGGCGAAAGCCUGAUGCAGCAACGCCGCGUGAGCGAUGAAGGCCUUCGGGUCGUAAAGCUCUGUCCUCAAGGAAGAUAAUGACGGUACUUGAUGAGGAAGCCCCGGCUAACUACGUGCCAGCCGCCGCAGUAA